rnacentral:rRNA from 1 species
UGGGGAAUAUUGCACAAUGGGCGAAAGCCUGAUGCAGCAACGCCGCGUGAACGAUGAAGGUUUUCGGCUCGUAAAGCUCUGUUGCAGGGGAAGAUAAUGACGGUACCCUGUGAUGAAGCCCCGGCUAACUACGUGCCAGCAGCCGCGGUAAUACGUAGGGGGCUAGCGUUAUCCGGAUUUACUGGGCGUAAAGGGUGCGUAGGUGGUCUUUCAAGUCGGUGGUUAAAGGCUACGGCUCAACCGUAGUUAGCCUCCGAAACUGGAAGACUAGAGUGCAGGAGAGGAAAAUGGAAUUCCCAGUGUAGCGGUGAAAUGCGUAGAUAUUGGGAGGAACACCAGUAGCGAAGGCGGCUUUCUAGACUGCAACUGACACUGAGGCACGAAAGCGUGGGUAGCAAACAGG